UUUAUUGGAGAGUUUGAUCCUGGCUCAGGAUGAACGCUGGCGGCGUGCCUAAUACAUGCAAGUCGAGCGAAUGGAUUAAGAGCUUGCUCUUAUGAAGUUAGCGGCGGACGGGUGAGUAACACGUGGGUAACCUGCCCAUAAGACUGGGAUAACUCCGGGAAACCGGGGCUAAUACCGGAUAACAUUUUGAACCGCAAGGUUCGAAAUUGAAAGGCGGCUUCG
rnacentral:rRNA from 1 species